UGAGGAUAAUUAUAUUAUCAAAAGCAACAUUACAACGCCGGCGAUUAAGAAAAUCCCGGAAACAGAGCCGGCAGACUAAACAAUAGUCUCCAGAAACAGAUGCCCACACAGGGGAAGCAAGAGGAGAAACAUAGAUAAUUGAAACACUUAGAAACAUACACAAACUAGAACCAAUAAUGAUUGAUCAAAAGAAACCCAAACGGUUAAGAACAGCUUGCAUGUUGGAGAUAACAGAGAGACUUUGCGAGAGAAGACGAUGGAGCCAAUCUUGGGAACAAACCAUCGAAGAACCCACCUAUAGUGAAUAGCACAGACAAAUAAAACCAUUGCUCCAAAACCGAUGAGACAGAACUUCGAGUUCCUAAGCCUUUGACCGGUAGAGGCGACGUCGGAGAGGUAACGACUUGAAACGCCAAGUUGGAGCAUGACGAAUGAUUAGAUCUCGAUCAGAUCUGAGAGGUAAUGACAAGGAGCGGUUCGAAAACGACCCUGGAUUCAACCACUCCCGAGAACCGAGAAAGGCUGAAGAUCGAACCAGGAACGAGGCAAAGAGAUAUCUCAACAUCGACAUGCAAGAUCAAACAUCAAAUUAGGAUUUUGACAAAAACAUAACUCAAUCAAAUCGGACUAGUUUAUGCAUGCACCGAAAAGCGAUUUAAACCCGACUCCGGCUCUAUGGAAGCAGCCGGAGUCGGAGAACAGAAACUCAAAUUUGAAAGAUCCAGUGAGAAGGCAGAGGUUUCUAGAGAGAGGAACACUGGAUUUGUAAUUCUAAAUAAAAAUAUAUAAAUUAUGCUAGAGAACAAAAUCUUUUACUAUAGCUUUUUUAAAAGGUGUCGUAGACUCGUACAGAUGUUUUAACAAAAUACUUAGAAACUGAAAUCUAUAGUGUGCAAAAAAAAAGAAAAAAAAAAGAAAUCUAUAGUGUGCAGUGUUUUUUGCAUAUAUUUUAGUCGUAGACUUCGAUAUAAACACUUUAACAAACACCAUGAGCAUCUUUUAUCCGC
rnacentral:lncRNA from 1 species